CCUACGGGAUGCAGCAGUGAGGAAUAUUGGUCAAUGGACGCAAGUCUGAACCAGCCAUGCCGCGUGCAGGAAGACGGCUCUAUGAGUUGUAAACUGCUUUUGUACGAGGGUAAACGCAGAUACGUGUAUCUGUCUGAAAGUAUCGUACGAAUAAGGAUCGGCUAACUCCGUGCCAGCAGCCGCGGUAAUACGGAGGAUUCAAGCGUUAUCCGGAUUUAUUGGGUUUAAAGGGUGCGUAGGCGGUCGGAUAAGUUAGAGGUGAAAUCCCGAGGCUCAACUUCGGAAUUGCCGCUGAUACUGGGCGGCUAGAGAAUAGUUGCGGUAGGCGGAAUGUAUGGUGUAGCGGUGAAAUGCUUAGAGAUCAUACAGAACACCGAUUGCGAAGGCAGCUUACCAAGCUACGUCUGACGUUGAGGCACGAAAGCGUGGGGAGCAAACAGGAUUAGAUACCCGAGUAGUC
rnacentral:rRNA from 1 species